CCUAGCAGUAGCAUAUCUCAGACAACAGGUCUGUAAUUAUCCUAGCAGUAGCAUAUCUCAGACAACAGGUCUGUAAUUCUCCUAGCAGUAGCAUAUCUCAGACAACAGGUCUGUAAUUCUCCUAGCAGUAGCAUAUCUCAGACAACAGGUCUGUAAUUAUCCUAGCAGUAGCAUAUCUCAGACAACAGGUCUGUAAUUAUCCUAGCAGUAGCAUAUCUCAGACAACAGGUCUGUAAUUCUCCUAGCAGUAGCAUAUCUCAGACAACAGGUCUGUAAUUCUCCUAGCAGUAGCAUAUCUCAGACAACAGGUCUGUAAUUAUCCUAGCAGUAGCAUAUCUCAGACAACAGGUCUGUAAUUCUCCUAGCAGUAGCAUAUCUCAGACAACAGGUCUGUAAUUCUCCUAGCAGUAGCAUAUCUCAGACAACAGGUCUGUAAUUCUCCUAGCAGUAGCAUAUCUCAGACAACAGGUCUGUAAUUAUCCUAGCAGUAGCAUAUCUCAGACAACAGGUCUGUAAUUCUCCUAGCAGUAGCAUAUCUCAGACAACAGGUCUGUAAUUCUCCUAGCAGUAGCAUAUCUCAGACAACAGGUCUGUAAUUCUCCUAGCAGUAGCAUAUCUCAGACAACAGGCCUGUAAUUCUCCUCGCAGUAGCAUAUCUCAGACAACAGGCCUGUAAUUCUCCUCGCAGUAGCAUAUCUCAGACAACAAGUCUGU